rnacentral:rRNA from 1 species
GGUACGGGGGGCAAGCGUUGUUCGGAAUUACUGGGCGUAAAGGGCUCGUAGGCGGCCAACUAAGUCGGAUGUGAAAUCCCCAGGCUUAACCUGGGAACUGCGUCGGAUACUGGUUGGCUUGAAUCCGGGAGAGGGAUGCGGAAUUCCAGGUGUAGCGGAUGAAAUGCGUAGAUAUCUGGAGGAACACCGGUGGCGAAGGCGGCAUCCUGGACCGGCAUUGACGCCUGAACAGCGAAAGCCAGGGGAGGACAAAACGGG